UUUCAUUUAUCUAACAUAUUUAGAUUGACCUCAUGAUGCAUCAGACAGAUGCUCAGAUGAAACUGUUUGAGCUGCACCUGCAAGCGAUGGAGCAGCAGUGCGCUUAUCAAAUGAAGACAUUUGAUAUGCCAAACCGCUCAAUUGCGGCAGCAUCAGCAGCAACAACAUCAGCAGCAACAACAUCAGCAGCACCGGCAGCAACAACAUCGGCUUUACCAGCUCCGACACCGGCAGCAGCAAUUGCAGCAGAAACAUGGGCAGGAACAGCGGCAACACUAGCAACAACACGACCAGUUGCUUUUGUGACGCACACACCAAGAUAAGGCAACGGAAACAAGAAAAAAAUGGGGUGCUGAGAGAAUCAACCCCAGUCAGGACCUCUUUUUGGAGAACUUGUUGGAGGAAGCUCGAGUCAAAAUCCAACAAGUCCUCCGAGAAGAGGUCCUAACUGAGGUUGAUAUAUCUCAGUAUUUUCUAAAGUUGAGUGGCGCAAGAACGUUGCGAUGCGUCGUAUGUGGCUCCCAGCAGACGAAUAGCAUUGAGGAUGAAAAUGCAUUCAUGCGAAUGCAACGUGGAUUUUUUCUUUUGAACUUGGACGCAUUGCGGCAGCGAUAUGCUUUCCAUCUGCGUCGAUGGGCCAUAGAGGGCAAGGGAUUGCAGAUGCAUGCCUGUGAUUUGAUAGCCGAUGUCAAAGCAGAGAUUUCGAAAUGGUUGGAAAUCCUGCAAAGAAGCAUGACUGCGCCGCUUAUGGGUCUUCUGUAAAGUAAUGGACCACUUCGCAUUAUUACACGGAAGAAGAACUGAGUUCUGAAUACGAUGAGCGCAAUCUGGGCGAUGCCGGCUUCAAGGACAAUCAAAUUGUUCAUGUGUCACUUGGUAGUCGCGGAAAUCGUUGCAAGGAAUCCAAUUAAGAGCAACCAUUUAUGUUGCCGCUGUUGUCGCAUCGUUUUUUGGAUAUUUUGCCAUAAUAGGGUGUUGUUGGACCAUAAAUAUGGAUUGCUUGGGACUAUUGGCCACGAGAUGAUGGGAGAUCAGAAUGAGGCUAUGUGAGGCUCACCACUUUUGCGGCCUGACAUGUAGACGGCUUCCCUGUCUCUUCAAAUCGCCCGCCUCGUUUUACUAUUGGUGGUCAGUCUGAGAUUGUUUUGCGACUGAAAAAGAGUCCUGAAACGAAAGAGGGUAGCCUGAUUUAUACGCUGAAAGGCUAUGAUCCAGAUAAUGAUCCGCUCACAUUUGGAAAGCGUAAUUCACCUGGCAGCGAAAUCAUUCGCUGGAUGAUGACAAUGAUGUAUUCAGCAUAUCCACUAAUCAGGGCAAGAGAGUUCUACGACUUCAAAAGGAACUUGACUAUGAGACCAAGAGCUUGUAUCAACUGCGUGUAUUGGCCGUGGAUCGUGCCAACUAAGGACCAGUGAAUACAGGAACUACAGCCAUUUUAGUACAAGUAGAGGACAUUGAAGAUCAAUCACCAAAAUUUGUUGAAGUUAUAUCCUUGAGGCCAAUGAUCUCUUCGAUAUCUAUCGGCAUACAGGUAUAGUCUGACCGAGUUGGAUCGCAAAGAACAAGCUGAAUUGAGCUUAUAUUUCAGAAGCACAGCCGCAGAGCUGGCCUUCUACGGUUAUAACCGAGUUCACGGUCAUUGUGAGCUAUGUCAACGAUGGGAUACCAACUUUUCAUGGAACUAUCUAUCGUUGUGAGAUACAUGAGAAUGUCCAAACAGACACACCAUUGGUAUUCAUUGAUGACGUGCAUUUCGCAUGUGCAUUUCGCUUGUUUCUCGAUCCACCCAAUGAUCUGUUUGAAAGAGUACCAGAAUUGGCGGUGAAUGAGGCAAAUUUCAUGUUACGGGUCAAGAAUUCCAAAUCUCUGGAUUUUGAACAAUUUGUCGAGAUGAAUUGUACGAUAUUCGCACGGGAAAUCGAAGAGCACAGUCGUUAUAGCUCGGCUCAUCUGACAGUUAAGGGCAUUGAUAAUAUAGGUCAGGGUAAUAGUAAUACUGCCCAGAUUAUUGUCGAUAUUCAAGAUGUCAAUGAUAAUGCCCCAACAUUUUUAUGAGGCGAAACUUUUGGAAAAUAAAAACGAAUUUGAGACACCAUUGCAAGUGGUGGCACGAGAUUUGGAUCCAAAUGGCACCGAGAAUAGUAAAAUAACUUAUGAAAUUGUCGAGGGAUUGCAUAGGUUGAAUUUCACAAUUAAUCCAAGGAGUGACUUAGUGCAGCCUUUGCAUCAUUUCGACUACGAGGUUCUUGUGGAGAGUACUAAUCGUUGACAUCUGUGCGAGGCUAAUGUGGGCAAUUGAUCUGCUUAUACGUGCCCGAGUUCGGGCAAAGAUAAUCUUCCAAUUUUUCAGACAAAUUUCUAUGCCAAGACAUUGCUUGAGGAUUUACCUGGCGAUAGCUCAAUUCUACAGGUUCUGGCCAUUGAUCGCGAUGGCUCAUCGCCAAAUAAUGCUGUGGUCUAUUGCAUACAAAUGGGAGCCAGCGAUAAGUUUAUUAUCAACUCAGAAUCUGGAAUUAUACCUGUGGCUAAGGGGGCAAACUUUGAUCCAGAUCUGACGGAUAAUAAGCAAACUCUCUACACACUUACUGUGCUUGCCCUUGGGGUUGAAUUUAUUUACGAAUUAGUCGUGAUAUUUUUUUUGUCACACACAACGAAGACGUGGAAUUGAGGGAGGCGAGGAGCUGCAAGUGAAAGGGGUCGUCGUCGGCCAAUUAUGGUCACAAAUGAAAUGAAAUUAAAAAUAAACAAUGUCAAUGUAUCUUAAGGCUUUUAA